UCGCCGCCGCCGGGAAUCCCCAGGGAUGUCGCUGCCACCGCUGCGGAUCCCCAAGGGCGUGGUCGCGUUGCCCUGAUUGGAGGAGACCCUGCCGGCCUUGCCUUGUUUGGAGGACUGUGUGCGUCAAUCCGGACCUCCGCUUCCCCCCUUUUCCAUCAAGGACCGCCGCUGCUGCUUCGUCUUCUAUCUCUCCGGAUCCCCAUCGGCACCUGCUGGAUGGUGCUCCGGGAACAGGGCCGCACGGAGGCCCUCCUCCCGUAGGUUGUGCAGACGCGGCGCGCCUUGCAGCGGCUAUUCGGGAUGAGCGCGGGCGCGACAACCUUGUCCCAGUCGAUGAUGGCGGCGGCGAACGCCGGUGCUCCUUCUCGUCCUCUACCUCCAAGGACGCGCACCGGUACAGCUCAGACACCCCCGUCCCCAAAUCCCGUCCACCCAUCCGGCGUUGUCCAGCUCAUCCUCACGCUCGUGGAUUCGCCUCCUCCUGUACGCGACACUUGAAACGUGGACGUGGUGAGCUUCCCCUCUCUCUACCCCCAAAUCUGGAUGGCACUAGCAUCGUUACAUACAUACAUAUGGAUAAACAUCUUGGUUUAGUUCUUUGGUUCAGUUUGUAUUCAGUCUGUAUGCGUCUAGAUGUGAAUGGCACUUGCAGUAUAUGGCUGCUCCUUGGUUGUCCAUUUGUAUGCGUCCACAGGUAUGUAAACGGCCGCUCCUUGAUUGUUAUUUUGAACAAAACUCCCCCUUAAUUCUUCCUGUACUGAAAUGAAUCCUUGGAAGCUAGCACUACAUGUCUGUUGUUGCUGUCGUCUUGUACUACAUGGCUUUUUCCAAUUUAAUUUCAGUCAAGUUUAUGUGAAUAUAAUCUCCUUUGAUCUGAUGUUUUGGUCUGACUAUUUACAUUUUAAUUAUCAUGUACGUACUAAUGCAUUCUCAGAUAUUUGGUCGGUGUUAUCUUCUAAAAUAAUAGUAAAUGCAAUCGUUAAAUAGCAGUAGAAGAAGCAUGUCUGCAAACAGAAUUGUACAUUUUCAUUCCUUUGUAGAAGUGUAAUAGAUUAUUUCUUGAAAACACAAAGAUUUCAAGUAUAGCGUCAGAACAAAGAUACAAACUAUAAUUUCAACAUCCGGUAAAUGAUAUAUACAGCGAGUUGGGCGUGUCGAAUGUUGAUGCACAAACAGAAUACAUUGGAUUAAUUAUGUACUUUUUAGAACAGUUCGGAAUACAUAUUGGAAGAACAAAUUACGUUAUGUUCCCGACCCAUCUCUUUCUGCUAUCUUGCUGCUGCAGGACCUGGGAGUUUUAGUGGCUAAUAUAAUUUUGACAAUUUUGCUGCAAUAUCUUCAGUUUCUCUAUUGAUUCGGAUAAUUUUGCUGCUCCAAUAGUCUGAAGCAGAAUCUCCGUCUUCUAUCUCAACGUCGGCGGCCCGACGGCGCCGACUCCUUAUCGACGCCCGUCGGCGGCCCGGUGACGCGACCAGAUCACUGCAAAUUGUCCCUUCAGUCUUGAUCAAUAACCAGAUAUUGGCAAGCUUGAGUUAUCCAUGGAUGCAUGGAAAAGAUUAUUCAUUGUUGUGAUAUGCAUAUCUGUAGGAUUAAAUUAAUCUGAAUUAUGUGCUAUGUCACACUUUGCAGAGUACAGAGACUUCAGUUCACAUAAUAUGUUUGUACAUAUGUUGAUGUCAGGUGGAGGUGGUCGUGCUGGCGCCACUGUUUUGCUUCGUGCUGAUGCGGUAUAAAAGUGCCUCCUCGGCAGAUGAGGACCUGAGCGUGGCCGUGCUAAUGAGGAUGCAGGAUCCACCGCCACCGGCCAGUCCGAGUGCGUUGUUGUUUUCAUUCUUUGGGUCCUAGGGAUUUCGAAAUCAGGUGUUCGCCCCUGAUGAUUUCCGUGAGAUAAACUGAUUUCAUUGGCAUCAUCUAUUUCAUUGCCUCACCAAUAUCCAUGUGAGCCUGAGUUGUAAGUGAAUGUACACAUUGCGUGGCUGUGUUCCUGCUGGUGAUUGCAGAGAACUUGGCAGGCAGAUCAAUUACGAGGAGGUCAAGGCUGAGCUGGAGUGGGGUGGGCGCCAACAUGAAGGAGCUGGAGAUAUCUCUAUUUUUCAAAAUGACCUGCUUGGACCGAACGAGGACAGGUGUGUGGUGGUGGUCAUAAGAUGCACGACGAACAUUGAGCUACAGAAGAACAUUAUGAAAGAGGUUGGAGAGGCUGGAGGAGACCAUAUACCAACACAAAACGCAUCUUGAUGGCCAUCAAUGAGGAGCUGGACCUGCUACACCAGGCUAAUUGCAAGCAUUGGGAUGAUUUGGACGAGAUGACUGAUGAGGACAUGAGCGUUGUCGGAUGAUUUGGACGAGAGGACUGUAGCACGACGCAAUGAAGAGCUAGAUCGUCCGUCCGCUCCCAGCUCACUUCCCAGUUCUGUUGUGCUGCCCCGUGCACCAACCAUCCAGUAAAGGUUCUGAGGUUAACAUCUCUUUUGCGAGUUUCGUAUAACUUUCGUUGUCACUUUAUUAUCUAUUGAUCCACAUGUUUGUAUUUUAGCAGACAUGAGUACUUUAUCAUCUUUCCAGGAAGAAAUUACUAGAGAGAAGAAAACUCAGUUUUACAAGUAGUGACAGUCCAACAUCAUAUUGACACGUCUGGUUUCUCUUUCCACAAGCAGGGUCGAGUGGGGUGAUAUACUAGGCGCUUUCUUCUAAAUUGUACAGAAAGUCCACUGAUUUAUUGUUUUUUGUAUGCCACCUUAGAGCGAAAUAGUACUUCUUUUAAUCAUUUUUAGGUGAAAUACAAGCAUGUAGCUACCUCACUUAAUUAUUGUACUCACUUGAAGUUUAUGUUGAUACAAUGCACUAUUUAAGUAGUAGAGAAACCUCACAAAUUUAAAUUGAUGAAUGAUAUUUAGGAAAAGAAGUAGGCAUGUUUCAUUAUAAAGGGAAAGUCUUUUUCAAGGCAUAGUGUUUAAUUCACGAAUGGUUAAACAGUUUAACGGGGACCAACACUGGGUAGCAGGGGAGUGGCAGUGCAUAGAGAUAUAGUGAGGGGAGCGGGGGCGAUGAUGGAGGCGGAGAUGUUUAGAGAGAGAUAUAGAGAGUGGGAGGUUUACCAUGGUGCAAUCGAAAACCGAGGCACACCUUGCUAAGACAAGCACACUUUAAAACAGAGCAAUACUCUGCAUUGUUUUGAUGUUGGUAUCAGGACCAGGUACCAUGUGAAGCUCAAGGAAUGGUUGUAGAUCAUUAUGGAUAAACUAAAAAAAGAUCAUUAUGGAGUACAUUAUAAACGGCAUUUGGUGUCGGCGGCAUGUCACUACCACUGACAAAGUUCUCUGAAACACGAUUACUAUCAUGUACAAUGCUUUACAAUUUCUCUCAUAUUCAAAUGCUAAAAUUCUGUAAUUUCAUAUUUAGUAGUUUCUGCGGUGUGAAAUUCAUGUUUUAUUUUGCUUGCGCAGUUGAAAAUAAAUGCUAGCAAAGAUAUUAAAAUUCAAAUCUGGCUUAUUUUCUUAAUAUGGGUUCAGAAGGAAAUUGUUGUUGAGCUUCUAUCUAAAGGUAUGUCAGAUUAACAGGUUGCUAUCGCAACUCUUGAUUUGGAGUAAUGCAAAGCAACUGUGGAUCUUGUCAUCGGUACAUCUUGGGUUGCCGUUCUUCCAGAACAAAGGAAUUUUUUCCCUAGAUUGUGCUAUGAAAUAAUGCUUGUAUAACGCCUUGAUCUCCUGGCUACACCAUGCUUUCUUGAGAACACUAUACUUACAGAAGAAUGAUGCUUCUAUAGAAUGUGCCACCAUGAGUUCUCGCAGCUCUUUUAAUUUUGUGUUCACUAUGGACGAAUGAACCAUAUACUUUGUCAAUUUGAUCAGUACUUGCUGAGUGCUUGCUUUCAUGUUGCAAUCUCAGAUUUAGGCACUUCAUAGCCAUAGAAUAAUUUUGAAUUGUUAUGCUCAGUACACCAAAUGUUGUUCCUAGGUAAUGCACUGUUUGCAACUAAGUUUUGUCUUUAAGCACCAAGGUGUAGUAGUAUGCAUUGAAAUAAAUGGAUCAUUUCUAUCUUUCUGGUGCUCAUAAUAGACUUCUUCAUUUUGAAUUUGUAUGCUUGAAAUUUGAUUAUUUCUAUCAACUGAGAGUGGAAAUGAACUGUACCGUAGGCACUUUUUCAUUAGAUUUCAGCAGCGGCUGAUGGCAGCAACCUCAUGGGCCACACAUCCCCUUCUUUAAUUGCAUGCCCUCACAAAAUGGAUGGGGACUUGGUUCUUUGGUUGUCGCCGCCGGACUCAGUGAAGGACGAAAAAUUGAGAUGAUCUAGUGGAGAAUAGAUGCCACGGGCUGAAGAAAGGAGGCGAUGGUUUCAGAGCACACACCUUGAAGCGGAGAGGCGGCAAGGGAGUGCGUCUGGAUGGCAGAGGGAGCAGGACAAGGCAACAUCACAUGGGAGGCAUGGUCAAAAUCGGCGCCGUAGGAGCAAUCGUGUGUGUGGGGGUCGUACCAGGGAGAAGGAAAAGGGUGGUCGGUUUUCUAGGGCUUUUUUCCUUGCAUCGGGAAACGGGUUCGGUUGAAAAAAACGAUGAUGUGGGGAGGUCACGUGAGUGGUGGAUACGUGGGUACCAUUUAAGGUACCAACUGCGCUUUAAUAGUAGAGAUUAAGAUGUUGAUAUUUUAUUCAUUUUCUUCUUAGCUGAACAUUCUUUAAACCAAAAAUCUAUGAAACUUGUAAUGUAUCAUGGUCGCAAUUUGUGAAGUAGAACUAACUAUCCUUUGACCAAAUACCCUUUGACCAUUCAUCAAUUUUUAUGUACUUGUCGCCCGUGACAACAAAUAUGGAUCAAAUAACUAUGCACUAUGGGCACUAAUAUGUUUACCUUUGAAUGGGUUUGUUACUGUGUUUAGUUACUAUGAUGUUUCAUAUGUUCAUCAGAAAAAAUAAAGGCUUAUUUGCUUGCAUGUGCUUUCUCAUGUUUGUUUGUUUUUUCUUCUGGUUGUUCCUUUUCUAUAAUUGUCACAUAAAGUGAACCGAAACUCAUAUUCUAUAUUUCUGCUGUGUAGAUACCCGUGAGCCCGCUGUUGAACUCGCUAAAAAUGGAGAUAGACAUGGAUUUAACGGUUCUCAUUCAUUUAAAUCUUAGUGUAUUGAUACCAGUUUCCAUUUGGAACUGAGAUAACGAGGAAUCGUUUCCUUCAUGAUACUGCAUGUAUGAGCUUUUUUCUUUCGGUGUAGGCCAAUAUUGUACAAAGUUAUUUCCUAAAAUUAUAUUCGAAGGUGUCUUCUAUGAGAGUAACCAUCUCAAUCUUUUUUCUAUAGUUGUCACAAGGUUCUUGUGCUAAAGUGAUUUUUGCUUGGUCAAUAUGUUUUCUUCUGAAUAUUUCAAGAA